rnacentral:rRNA from 1 species
UACGUAGGUGACAAGCGUUAUCCGGAAUUACUGGGCGUAAAGCGCACGCAGGCGGCGUGGUAAGUCUGAUGUGAAACCUCCCGGCUUAACUGGGAGGGGUCAUUGGAAACUGCCGAGCUUGAGGCGAUGAGAGGGGUGUAGAAUUCCCGGUGUAGUGGUGGAAUGCGUAGAUAUCGGGAGGAAUACCAGUGGCGAAAGCGGCACCCUGGCAUUAGCCUGACGCUCAUGUGCGAAGGCGUGGGGAGCGAACGGG